rnacentral:rRNA from 1 species
UGGGGAAUAUUGGACAAUGGGCGCAAGCCUGAUCCAGCCAUGCCGCGUGAGUGAAGAAGGCCUUAGGGUUGUAAAGCUCUUUCACUGGUGAAGAUGAUGACGGUAACCAGAGAAGAAGCCCCGGCUAACUCCGUGCCAGCAGCCGCGGUAAUACGGAGGGGGCAAGCGUUGUUCGGAAUUACUGGGCGUAAAGGGCGCGUAGGCGGAAGGACAAGUUAGGGGUGAAAGGCCUGGGCUCAACCUGGGAACUGCCUCUAAAACUGUUUUUCUAGAGUCCGGAAGAGGAUGGCGGAAUUCCCAGUGUAGAGGUGAAAUUCGUAGAUAUUGGGAAGAACACCAGUGGCGAAGGCGGCCAUCUGGUCCGGAACUGACGCUGAGGCGCGAAAGCGUGGGGAGCAAACAGGAUUAGAUACCCCCGUAGUCC